GGACCCGCACAAGUAGUGGAGCAUGUGGUUUAAUUCGAAGAUACGCGCAGAACCUUACCAACACUUGACAUGUUCGUCGCGACUUUAAGAGAUUAAAGUUUUCGGUUCGGCCGGACGAAACACAGGUGCUGCAUGGCUGUCGUCAGCUCGUGUCGUGAGAUGUUGGGUUAAGUCCCGCAACGAGCGCAACCCUCACUUUUAGUUGCCAUCAUUUAGUUGGGCACUCUGAAAGAACUGCCAGUGAUAAGCUGGAGGAAGGUGGGGAUGACGUCAAGUCCUCAUGGCCCUUACGUGUUGGGCUACACACGUGCUACAAUGGUGACUACAACAGGAAGCAAGACAGCGAUGUUAAGCAAAUCCUUAAAAGUUACCUCAGUUCGGAUUGCACUCUGCAACUCGAGUGCAUGAAGCUGGAAUUACUAGUAAUCG
rnacentral:rRNA from 1 species